rnacentral:rRNA from 1 species
CCCUUAGAUGUUCUGGGCCGCACGCGCGCUACACUGACGAAUGCAACGAGCUUAUAACCUUGGCCGAAAGGUCUGGGUAAUCUCCAAAUUUCGUCGUGAUGGGGAUAGAUUAUUGCAAUUAUUAAUCUUCAACGAGGAAUGCCUAGUAAGCGCAAGUCAUCAGCUUGCGUUGAUUACGUCCCUGCCCUUUGUACACACCGCCCGUCGCUCCUACAGAUUGAGCAGUCCGGUGAAUACUUCGGACCGUUUGCAUAGAUGGUUCGCCAUCUUUGCGAAUGGAAAGUCGAGUGAACCUUCCUGCUUAGAUGAAGGAGAAGUCGUAACA